AUGGCCGUUCUUAGUUGGUGGAGCGAUUUGUCUGGUUAAUUCCGAUAACGAACGAGACUCUAGCCUAUUAAUUAGGUGCGGGGUUCCCAGCACCUUACAACCUUCUUAGAGGGACAAGCGGCUCCUAGCCGCACGAAACAGAGCAAUAACAGGUCUGUGA
rnacentral:rRNA from 1 species